rnacentral:rRNA from 1 species
UACGGAGGGUGCAAGCGUUAUCCGGAUUCACUGGGUUUAAAGGGUGCGUAGGUGGGCAGGUAAGUCAGUGGUGAAAUCUCCGGGCUCAACCCGGAAACUGCCAUUGAUACUAUCAGUCUUGAAUAUCGUGGAGGUAAGCGGAAUAUGUCAUGUAGUGGUGAAAUGCUUAGAUAUGACAUAGAACACCAAUUGCGAAGGCAGCUUACUACCCGAAUAUUGACACUGAGGCACGAAAGCGUGGGGAUCAAACAGG